rnacentral:rRNA from 1 species
UGUCCAGACUCCUACGGGAGGCAGCAGUGGGGAAUAUUGGGCAAUGGGCGCAAGCCUGACCCAGCAACGCCGCGUGAAGGAAGAAGGCUUUCGGGUUGUAAACUUCUUUUCUCAGGGACGAAUAGAUGACGGUACCUGAGGAAUAAGCCACGGCUAACUACGUGCCAGCAGCCGCGGUAAUACGGAGGAUCCGAGCGUUAUCCGGAUUCAUUGGGUUUAAAGGGUGCGUAGGUUGUUUUAUAAGUUAGCGGUGAAAUACCGAUGCUCAACAUCGGGGCUGCCGCUAAUACUGUAGGACUAGAGAUCGGAUGCAGCAGGCGGAAUGUGUAGUGUAGCGGUGAAAUGCAUAGAUAUUACACAGAACACCGAUUGCGAAGGCAGCUUGCUAGGCCGGAUCUGACACUGAUGCACGAAAGCGUGGGGAUCGAACAGGAUUAGAUACCCCUGUAU